rnacentral:sRNA from 2 species
CCUGAUCUGGAGCCGAACUCUGCCAGCAGAUCAGUAGCACGAAUCACCUACUGGCAGAGGCGGGGGAACCACAAUCGGCUGUUGAAAAACAGCCUUGGGGUGAAGUCCGCAGCAGCAAGCCACUUUCCGCAGAAGGAAUCUCCCGGGAUACCCCUGCGCCGAAAAGCUUGUCACGGCGGACCGGGUCGAUGAUCUCUCUGACCCGAAUCCGACAGCUAACUUCGCAGGCUAUCCAGAGAGGAAAC